rnacentral:rRNA from 1 species
UACAGAGGGUGCGAGCGUUAAUCGGAAUUACUGGGCGUAAAGCGCGCGUAGGCGGCUUUUCAAGUCGAUUGUGAAAUCCCCGGGCUUAACCUGGGAACUGCAUUUGUGACUGCAUGGCUAGAGUACGGUAGAGGGGGAUGGAAUUCCGCGUGUAGCAGUGAAAUGCGUAGAUAUGCGGAGGAACACCGAUGGCGAAGGCAAUCCCCUGGACCUGUACUGACGCUCAUGCACGAAAGCGUGGGGAGCAAACAGG